UCACCUUCCUGGUGCUGCUGCUCACCAUCCUGGUCUGCCUGGCUCACACCUGCUUUGGAUGCUUCAAGCACCUCAGCCCUCUGAACUACAAAACAGAAGAGCCUGCAAGUGACAAAGGAAGUGAGGCAGAGGCCCACAUGCCCCCACCGUUCACAAUCACAUGGCAGGCAAGUUUGUGAAUUAAUGGCAGAGAAGGAAUCCUGGUCCCCCUGGGUAUUUUAACCUGCAUAUUUGAAACUGUUGAGGAGAUAGAGUCUUGUCUCGAUUCAUGGCCAUCCCCCUUGGUUUCAGUUCCCUGCUCUCUUUCCUUCUCUGCAUAUUUAAUGCCUGCCCUACGUGCCUCGGAUUCUGAACGGCUUGGCCUCGGAGAGGACAGCACUGUCUCCGCAGCAGCAGCAGCAGCAG
rnacentral:lncRNA from 10 species